rnacentral:lncRNA from 1 species
CUAGAUUUCGAAACCCCGCCUCUCCGUGACGUCUGCACGCCCGGUCGCGUCGGAUUAUAAAAGCCUUGCGGGCUGCGUCAGUUCUUAGAAGCUUAGCUGUGGAUCACGUUCAUGUACUUGCCGGACGCCAGAUCUCCUUUGCAGCGACAGCGAUUGCGGUAGCCGGUGACAACGUGAGUCCCAGAGCCCGACACCGGAGGGCGAGAUGAACGCGCUGGCUUCCCGAGCCAUCCAGAUCCGCGAUCGCUUGUGGCAGCCCGAGCCGGCCCUCCUACCCCCAGGGUGACGCGCAGCCCGGAGUCGGUGAGUGAGGGGUCGGAACGCCAGGGCCCUGAGGGGUUGAGGGCUGGGAAUCAGACUCCGGGUCAGUAAUGAGGAGGGAGUUUGGACUUCUAGGUACGUAGACGGGAGGGUUCGAGGCCGGGACUCGUGAGUUCCGAGGAAGGGUGGCCUGGGAGCCUGAACUCUUGCGUCUGGGAACAGGUGCGGCCGGGACGGACUCCAGGGCUCGGACUUAGGAAGGAGAAAGGAUUGGGAGCCUGGAGCCUUGAGCCUGGCGGGAGGAGGGCUCUGGAAGCCAGACUCCUGGAUCCCCAGUGAUGGAACCAUGCGGGGGGUCGGAACGUUUGAGUCUCAGAGGGAGGAAGGUCUUGAGGGCCCGAUAUGUCAGUCCUCAGGAUGGAUAAGAGAACCAGGGGCUAGGACCUUGUCCCCAAGGGAAGCAAGUAGAGACCCUGUAUUCUCAGUUCUGGAAACUGAGCCUUCUUAGUCUGAGAGAAGAGGCUGGGGGGCUUGGACUCUUGGGCCUAAGAAAAAUGAGAGAAGUGGGGACUCAGACUCCUGGGUAUUGAGAGAACGGAGGUGGGGAGGAGGUGGGAACCGUCUACCUCUGCUGGAGAAGGGAGUGGCAGGGCUCAGAAAGGAAUGUGGGGGAGGGACUCUCACGUUGCUGUUUGUGUCACUAUUUCCAUGGCUGUGACUCACAGUCAUCCCAUGAUGCUCUCCCCUAAAUGGCUUCUGAGCUUUGUUUCCUUUUGUCCCAGCACAGACAGAUGGCCCCAGGCCAAGCGCCCCAUCAGUCUGCCCCCUGGAGGGGUACCCACCCCUUUUUCCUCCUGUCCCCGCUGGUGGGCCUUCUCAGCAGGGCCUGGAGCCACCUGAGGGGCCCAGGACCUCCAGAACCCUGGCUGUUGGAACCAGUAGCCAGAGCCGAUCAAGGAGAAGCUGGUCUGGAGGGAGCAGCUCAGACUUUUGUGGGCAUCCACUGUGCCCCGGAGGGCAGGCACUUUCAAGGGGAGACUGGAGACAGUGGAGCAGUUGAGGACGAUGGAGACGCAUUCCGGGGGGCCUGCCACGAUCUAAAAGCCAGUAGUUCUCUCCUUGAAGCCUGGGGACUUUCAGAUGAUGGUGAUGAAGAGGAUCAAACAACCAGUGUCCCUCAAGAGCAAGCAAGUGACUUUGUAGGUGGCCAGCCUGCUCCCCUCUCCCCUACCCUUCCAGUAAGAGCCCUGCAGGACCCUCCCGGAGAGGAGAAGUCUGAGGAAGGAGGAGCUGCUGAAACUGAAAUGGUCACGUUUUUCUCUUUUCCUCCAUCACCCUGGGAGUGUUGUCCAGGGGAGGAGGAAGAGGAAGGAGGAGCUAUAAAGAAAGAAGCUGCCAGAGCACCUGCUUUUCCUUUGUCUCCAGGAUCCAAGCCUAAAGCUCGGGGGUAUCGUGCUGGGGAGGAAGAGGGUCAAGCGACAGAGGAAAAAACAACAGAAAAUAAAGAAGCCGCAAAGAGCUCCGUUUUCCCCUCAUCUUCAGGCUUUCAUGCUAGGGCCUGGGAGCGUGGUUCAGGAGAGGAGUCUGAGGAGGAGGAAGAUGAAUUCGGUGACUCGGGAGCAGCUGAGGAGGAGGGAGAAGCUGAGGGUCCCUCUUCCAUCCCAUCCACAAAUGCCUUCGUCAGGGCCUGGGUGUACCGGCCAGGAGAGGACACGGAGGACGAGGAGGAGGAGGAAGAUGAAUUCAGUGACUUGGGAGCAGCUGAGGAGGGGGGAGAAGCUGAGGGUCCCUCUUCCAUCCCAUCCACAAAUACUUUCAUCAGGGGCUGGGUGUAUCGGCCAGGAGAGGACACGGAGGAGGAGGAGGAAGAUGAAUCCAGUGACUCGAGAGCAGCUGAGGAGGAGGGAGAAGCUGAGGGUCCCUCUUCCAUCCCAUCCACAAGUGCCUUCGUCAGGGCCUGGGUGUACCGGCCAGGAGAGGACACGGAGGAUGAGGAGGAAGAGGAGUUCAGUGACUCAGGAGCAGCUGAGGAGGAGGGAGAAGCUGAGGCUUCUCCUUCUGUCCCCCCAACAGGUACCUUCUUAAGGGCCUGGGUUUAUCGGCCAGGAGAGGACACAGAAGAGGAAGAUGAGAAUGAGGAGGAUGAUGACUCAGAAGCCACUGACUCGGCGCUGAGUCCCUCACUUCAGGCUCAGAGCGCCCUCCUCGGGGGCUGGAUGUAUCGGCCGGGAGAGGACACAGAAGGAAGGGAAGUUGCUAAGCAGCAGGGAGAAGCUGAGCCCCGCCCCUUCCGAGUGGCCAUCUAUUUACCUGGAGAAAGGCCACCACCUCCCUGGGCUCCCCCUCGGCUACCCGUCCGACUGCAGAGGCGACUUAAGUCCACGGAAACCCCCGCCCGGCAUCCUGACCCUGAGCCUCCCGUAAAGGCCAGAAAGGUGGGUGCUGAGGGCUCAAGUUCUCCAGUCUCAGGGAGGAGCUGGAACUCUUAUCUUCCUUCCUGGAGCUCCUGGGCUGGGGCGGGGGAGGGGCUGAACGCCCCAACUUCUGGGUCCCCUGUGUGUUGCAGACGGUUGCACGUGAACUCCGCUGGGAGGGCUGUGUUCACGGUAACGCAAUCCUUUGCAAGAGGCUGGGCCCCUGUGAGGAGAGGGGGCAGCUGUGGUUCAUUGUCAGCAUCAGGGAACCAACCGCCUCCAUCUGCAGGGGGCCGGAUCUGGUGGGUGAAUGGCUAGCAGGUGACUAACCAGAUCACAAGCAUUCUUGUGUAACUAAUUUUUGUUUGGUUCUCUCUCUCUUUUCCCGGCCCCUCCCCCCCGCCCCUCUCCCUGUGGACAUGUGCGUCUUGUGUCUGUGCUGGUCCACCUUCAGGUACGCUUCUCUGAGAAGGUCUCUGUCCAUCUCCUGGCUGUCUGGGCGGGACCAGCCCGGGCCGCCCGCCGGGGACCCUGGGAGCAGCUAGCCCGAGAUCGAAGUCGCUUCGCCCGUCGCAUUGCUCAGGCCCAGGAGCAGCUGGGCCCCUGUCUCACUCCUGCUGCCCGGGCCAGGGCCUGGGCACGCUUUGGGAACCCUACGCCUCCUGUGGCCGCCACACCUGCUCCUACCCAGAUCUUACCAUUGUCUUCCGUCCAGGCCACAGCCUUGAGCCCUGUUACGGCAUCUCCCUUCGCCCCUCUGUCCCUGUCUCCCGGCUUGGACCUCAGUGGGAGGCGUGGCUAAGAUCAUGUAGUUUCAUGUUUAUAUUAAUUAUUUAUUUUUUGUAUAUUGUUUUAUAUAAGAAAUAAAACUUUGUGAUUUGUAGCAAGCAAUGUCCCUGCCACUGUGUGUAUCUGAACUGACGAUCUCCACUACCCUCGGGAUAAAGGGGAGUACUCAAUAGAGAAUAAACUGUAUUUCCC